rnacentral:rRNA from 1 species
AACGAACGCUGGCGGCAGGCUUAACGCAUGCAAGUCGAGCGCCCCGCAAGGGGAGCGGCAGACGGGUGAGUAACGCGUGGGAACGUGCCCUUUGGUUCGGAACAACUCCGGGAAACUGGAGCUAAUACCGGAUAAGCCCUUCGGGGGAAAGAUUUAUCGCCAAAGGAUCGGCCCGCGUCUGAUUAGCUAGUUGGUGAGGUAAUGGCUCACCAAGGCGACGAUCAGUAGCUGGUCUGAGAGGAUGAUCAGCCACACUGGGACUGAGACACGGCCCAGACUCCUACGGGAGGCAGCAGUGGGGAAUAUUGGACAAGGGGCGCAAGCCUGAUCCAGCCAUGCCGCGUGAGUGAUGAAGGCCUUAGGGUUGUAAAGCUCUUUUGUCCGGGAAGAUAAUGACUGUACCGGAAGAAUAAGCCCCGGCUAACUUCGUGCCAGCAGCCGCCGUAACAC